rnacentral:antisense_RNA from 1 species
UUGCCCUGCGAAACCUCUGUAUAUGAAAAGUUGGCCGUCCAUGUACAUGGGUUUCCCAUCCUGUCACAGAAUUUUCCACACUCCUUGACGGAGGUGCUUAACCCUUAUCCAUCAGCAUUCUCAGACAGCACCUCCGGUUAGGGACAGUAUCUGACCGUCCGACAUCCCUGCAGCCCCCAUGUGUCACACAGACUCAGCCUCAGGUAGAUGGUUUCCGUAGAUGGUGGCUUUCUUUGGACCCUUGACAUCAACCAGUUACUAUUUGACUCUUCUGCAGAACCCCCUGUUGACCCCUGCUUUGAGGUGGCAGAGUUAACACUACUCUUCGUUAUAAGCUCUCGUCUGGGGCAACUCAGAAGAACGGGACCAGAUGUGCAGAGGUAAUGAAUACCAGGGAAUCAGGAAACCACUGGAUCAGUUCUUUGAGCCACAGAACAACACUCAUCCCAGCAGCUGGGAAGCUAUCUGCAAAAGUCCAUCUGCAGAAAGGGCUUCCUGGUCUUGCGUGUGGCUGGGCCAUUUCUCUGGAUGCAGGUUUUUCAUUAUACAGUCUUCUCAAAGAAACACCUGCUCUCAACACCUUCUCGGUGACUCCAUUUCCCCUCCUCU